AGCCCGAGCCGCCCCUCGGAGCAGAGGCGACCAACGAGCGACCGGAGGAUGCCAGACCGCCCCAUGCUGCGGCAGCAGAGCAGGGAGGGGUUACCCCCGUAUGGUGCAGGCCGGAAUGCGC
rnacentral:SRP_RNA from 12 species